AUCACCCAUGUCACACCCUGGCCUGACCAAAAUAAUAAAGAGAACACAGAAUACUAAGGCCAGGGUGUGACACAUGAAUACAUUGCUCAGAACCAACCAGAAAACACAGAAUACUAAGGCCAGGGUGUGACACAUGAAUACAUUGCUCAGAACCAACCAGAAAACACAGAAUACUAAGGCCAGGGUGUGACACAUGAAUACAUUGCUCAGAACCAACCAGAAAAGUACUCCCUGAUAGGGAACUUACGGCUUCACGACACGGUGCUCCAUGGACAUGGCUCCAGCGCUACAGGCCAGGCAGAAUCGGUCAUUCUUGAUGACAAAAGACAACCUCCUUCGGUUUCAACAGCCCUCGUUAAAAAAGCAGAGACUCCUCUCUGGUGUAUAACGGCACAGAAGACCACACACAGAGAGCAGAGUAUUUCACCAAUAAAACAACGAAACCGGAUGAUUUCAACGUUUUAUAUGACAUUUCCGAGGUAGACGAUUUGAUGUGAUGUGAAGCGGCCAACCUUCUUGAUUCUGAUUCUGUGGAGGCAACAGACGGUUCUGAAAUAGAACAGGCCUUUUCAAAGGGUUGAAAAUCCAGAAGUGUUUUGCUCCACAGACGGAUGUUUUACUGGAGCGUCAAAACCGCCAGGAUAUAUCAUUCUGUCGGAGAGCGAUUCCACGUAGGUUAAACAACAAUCAGAUUAAACAGCGCAAAUACAGGCGUUAAAAGCAUAUAUGUAACACGGAUCCUUCCAGAAUAACACAACACAUCCUUAAUAAUCCAAAUGGCGGAUCCAAUAGACCUAGGAGACAGUUGAAAACCUCUUAUCUCAGAUACCGCCAGAACUCCAAGCCAUAUGAUGCGGGGGUAACAGACAUAAUGGCGAUAGAUGAAAACCUCUUAUCCCAGAUACCGCCAGAACUCCAAGCCAUAUGAUGCGGGGGUAACAGACAUAAUGGCGAUAGAUGAAAACAUAUUAUCACAGAUUCCCCAAACUCAUAGAAAUGAUUAAUCGUAUGAAUGAGUCAGGGCUGUCCGAUGAAAACCUGUUAUCACAGAUUCCCGAAGCCCUCAUAUUACCCAGAUGAACGAGAGCCAAAGGUCUAAUGCUGCAACACCUCUAAGCCAUGUCUGAAUAGUCUGAAAUGCAAUAUGAUGUUUUUGAGCAGUUGGAAAAUUGUCUAACAAAUCAGGAGGAGUACAGUCUUGAUAGAAGUGUACGUGUUGUGUACCGAAAUCAAUUCAACAAUACAGAGAUUCAACAGUUUUUCAAUUUCGCAUGGGUGAAUCAGAAUAUUGACUGUGCUGUGAUGAUUUUGGACACUUUGAACGAACUGUUAGACAGGGCUAGAGAUUAUGGCGAACCACAUGAUGUCUUACAGUUGGAAAUUUGUGGAGACAUGCAUAGCACGGUAUCUCUUAUUGUGGAGACAUGCAUAGCACGGUAUCUCUUAUUUUACCCAAUGAUGAAGCAGAUCUGGAACAAUUUAUGGCCCUUGACUUGUUCAGUCAAAUGUUUCCGUCAGAGCCGAUAGGAACCUCGAGCUUGUAGUGCAAAUAAUACGUGGUGGUGGUCAGAGAAGGAAACUCCAUAGCACUCGCUCUAAGGCGUGAGGAAAAGGAUGCCCAUAUAAGGGCAUAACCGCAUGAUCCCUUCCCACCAGGAACGGGAUGUUAGUUAUUACUGUAUAGUCGGAACUAGAAGCACAAGCAUUUCGCUACACUCACAUUAACAUCUGCUAACCAUGUGUAUGUGACAAAUACAAUUUAAUUUGAUUUGUCCUGACCGUAUGCCCAAAUAUGGGCACGCACACGUCAUCAUGACAUAGGACCAUAAAUCAAACGUUUGACGUGCCUCGUCUACUUUAUUCUCUCUCACAUAAAAUAAACAGCUUUUGCUUUGUAA